UACGGAGGAGGCAAGCGUUAUUCGGAUUUACUGGGCUUAAAGAGUUCGUAGGCGGCGCAGAAAGUAGGGUGUGAAAGCCCUCGGCUCAACCGAGGAAUUGCGCCCUAAACUACUGUGCUUGAGGGACCUAGAGGUGAGCAGAACAGAUGGUGGAGCGGUGAAAUGCGUUGAUAUCAUCUGGAAUACCGGAGGCGAAGGCGGCUCACUGGGGGUCUUCUGACGCUGAGGAACGAAAGCCAGGGGAGCGAACGGG
rnacentral:rRNA from 1 species